UCGUAACACAUCCAUGACUGUUUGAAGAGGAAGCUAUGGCCAGGAUGAGGGUGUGUGGAAACAUGAACAUCGCAAUGCAAUCCAUCCAUUUCUAACGUGAAAGGCGUGGGAAAAAUACCUCUCUCUCUCUCUGUCCUCCUUCCUCGUCCCCAGCUCUUCUCCCAUCAGCUCCUCGGUCGCAUCCACUUGUCGUCCGAGCUCCAGGCAGGGGGGGCUCCCUCCUGCUUCACUCUUGCUUCACCCAGCUCCAGGGACUCUCUCUGGGCUUUCUCCCGGGCCAGCCUCCUCCCUCUUCCCUCUUGCUCCUGGAGCUCGGCCACCACCUGGGCUAGCUUAGCUUGGCGCCGCUGGAACUUGUGGAGGAUGAGGUAGCUGACUCUGCAGCAAUGGCCUCACUGUCACGCUGUGCUCCAUCUGGGGAAGAAAGGGGAACGAUUAGUAUCCUGAUUACACCGCUGGACUCAUUUAUUCAGGG
ensembl:lncRNA